rnacentral:lncRNA from 1 species
AAGAAGCCUCUCCCUCCACCAGUGCCGGUAUACAAGAAGCCGGUCCCUCCCCCCGUCCCGGUCUACAAGAAGCCUCACCCUCCGCCCGUCCCAAUCUACAAGAAACCUCUCCCUCCACCUGUCCCAGUCUAUAAGAAGCCUAACCCUCCACCAGUCCCAGUAUACAAGAAACCUUACCCUCCACCAACACCAAUCUACAAGAAACCUCUCCCUCCUCCCGUCCCAGUCUAUAAGAAGCCUAACCCUCCACCAGUCCCAGUAUACAAGAAACCUUGCCCUCCACCAAAACCAAUCUACAAGAAACCUCUCCCUCCACCUGUCCCAAUCUAUAAGAAGCCUCUUCCACCACCAGUUCCAGUAUACAAGAAGCCACUUCCACCACUAGUCCCCAUAUACAAGAAGCCAUUUCCACCACCAGUCCCAAUAUACACAAAGCCACUUCCACCACCAAUCCCAAUAUACAAGAAGCCACUUCCACCACUAGUCCCCAUAUACAAGAAGCCACUUCCACCACUAGUCCCCAUAUACAAGAAGCCAUUUCCAC